rnacentral:rRNA from 1 species
AGAGUUUGAUCAUGGCUCAGGACGAACGCUGGCGGCGUGCCUAACACAUGCAAGUCGAACGGAGAUAAGCGCUGAUGAUUUAGCUUGCUAGAGAUUCUUGCUUAUCUUAGUGGCGGACGGGUGAGUAACGCGUGAGCAACCUGCCUUUCAGAGGGGGAUAACGUCUUGAAAAGGACGCUAAUACCGCAUGAUAUUAUGGAGCCACAUGGCUCUAUAAUCAAAGGAGCAAUCUGCUGAGAGAUGGGCUCGCGUCCGAUUAGGUAGUUGGCGGGAUAACAGCCCACCAAGCCGACGAUCGGUAGCCGG